rnacentral:rRNA from 1 species
GGUGAGUAACACGUGGGUAACCUGCCUGUAAGACUGGGAUAACUCCGGGAAACCGGAGCUAAUACCGGAUAGUUCCUUGAACCGCAUGGUUCAAGGAUGAAAGACGGUUUCGGCUGUCACUUACAGAUGGACCCGCGGCGCAUUAGCUAGUUGGUGAGGUAACGGCUCACCAAGGCGACGAUGCGUAGCCGACCUGAGAGGGUGAUCGGCCACACUGGGACUGAGACACGGCCCAGACUCCUACGGGAGGCAGCAGUAGGGAAUCUUCCGCAAUGGACGAAAGUCUGACGGAGCAACGCCGCGUGAGUGAUGAAGGUUUUCGGAUCGUAAAGCUCUGUUGUUAGGGAAGAACAAGUGCAAGAGUAACUGCUUGCACCUUGACGGUACCUAACCAGAAAGCCACGGCUAACUACGUGCCAGCAGCCGCGGUAAUACGUAGGUGGCAAGCGUUGUCCGGAAUUAUUGGGCGUAAAGGGCUCGCAGGCGGUUUCUUAAGUCUGAUGUGAAAGCCCCCGGCUCAACCGGGGAGGGUCAUUGGAAACUGGGAAACUUGAGUGCAGAAGAGGAGAGUGGAAUUCCACGUGUAGCGGUGAAAUGCGUAGAGAUGUGGAGGAACACCAGUGGCGAAGGCGACUCUCUGGUCUGUAACUGACGCUGAGGAGCGAAAGCGUGGGGAGCGAACAGGAUUAGAUACCCUGGUAGUCCACGCCGUAAACGAUGAGUGCUAAGUGUUAGGGGGUUUCCGCCCCUUAGUGCUGCAGCUAACGCAUUAAGCACUCCGCCUGGGGAGUACGGUCGCA